rnacentral:rRNA from 1 species
UUAUGGCUCAGGAUGAACGCUAGCUACAGGCUUAACACAUGCAAGUCGAGGGGCAGCAUGGUCUUAGCUUGCUAAGAUUGAUGGCGACCGGCGCACGGGUGAGUAACGCGUAUCCAACCUUCCCUAUAGUAGGGGAUAGCCCGUAGAAAUGCGGAUUAAUACCCUAUGUUGUAUUUUGAGGACAUCUGACGAAUACCAAAGGUUUACCGCUAUAGGAUGGGGAUGCGUCUGAUUAGGUUGUUGGCGGGUAACGGCCACCAAGCCUACGAUCAGUAGGGGUUCUGAGAGGAAGGUCCCCCACAUUGGAACUGAGACACGGUCCAAACUCCUACGGGAGGCAGCAGUGAGGAAUAUUGGUCAAUGGGCGAGAGCCUGAACCAGCCAAGUAGCGUGCAGGAUGACGGCCCUAUGGGUUGUAAACUGCUUUUAUGCGGGGAUAAAGUGAGGGACGUGUCCCUUAUUGUAGGUACCGCAUGAAUAAGGACCGGCUAAUUCCGUGCCAGCAGCCGC